GACGAACGCUGGCGGCGUGCUUAAUACAUGCAAGUCGAACGAUGAAGCUGGAGCUUGCUCCGGUGGAUUAGUGGCGAACGGGUGAGUAACACGUGAGUAACCUGCCCUUGACUCUGGGAUAACUGCGGGAAACUGUAGCUAAUACCGGAUACGACACCUUCGGGCAUCCGAUGGGUGUGGAAAGAAUUUCGGUCAAGGAUGGACUCGCGGCCUAUCAGCUUGUUGGUGAGGUAACGGCUCACCAAGGCGA
rnacentral:rRNA from 1 species